rnacentral:tRNA from 2 species
GGCCGAGUGGCGGAAUGGCAGACGCGGCGGAUUCAAAAUCCGCUGUCCGCGAGGGCAUGCCGGUUCGAGUCCGGCCUCGGCUACCA